AUCGCUUCUUAGCCUUUUGACUAAGAUCAAGUGUAGUAUCUGUUCUUAUCAGUUUAAUAUCUGAUAAGUCCUCUAUUGAAGGACAAUAAUUUAAGUGGAAUUUUGGAGCAGGGAGAUGGAAUAGGGCUUGUUCUGUCCACUCCACACAUUGAUCUGGUAUUGCAGUAUAUCCAGGAAUGGUGCACCCCUC